AUUGAACGCUGGCGGCAGGCUUAACACAUGCAAGUCGAGCGGAGCGAGGGUGCUUGCACCUUAGCUUAGCGGCGGACGGGUGAGUAAUGCUUAGGAAUCUGCCUAUUAGUGGGGGACAACAUUCCGAAAGGAAUGCUAAUACCGCAUACGCCCUACGGGGGAAAGCAGGGGAUCUUCGGACCUUGCGCUAAUAGAUGAGCCUAAGUCGGAUUAGCUAGUUGGUGGGGUAAAGGCCUACCAAGGCGACGAUCUGUAGCGGGUCUGAGGGGAUGAUCCGCCACACUGGGACUGAGACACGGCGCAGACUCCUACGGGAGGCAGCAGUGGGGAAUAUUGGACAAUGGGCGGAAGCCUGAUCCAGCCAUGCCGCGUGUGUGAAGAAGGCCUUUUGGUUGUAAAGCACUUUAAGCGAGGAGGGGGCUACUUAGAUUAAUACUCUGGGAUAGUGGACGUUACUCGCAGAAUAAGCACCGGCUAACUCUGUGCCAGCCGCCGCCGUAA
rnacentral:rRNA from 1 species